GACGAACGCUGGCGGCGUGCUUAACACAUGCAAGUCGAACGGAAAGGCCCUGCUUUUGUGGGGUGCUCGAGUGGCGAACGGGUGAGUAACACGUGAGUAACCUGCCCUUGACUUUGGGAUAACUUCAGGAAACUGGGGCUAAUACCGGAUAGGAGCUCCUGCUGCAUGGUGGGUUGGAAAGUUUCGGCGGUUGGGAUGGACUCGCGGCUUAUCAGCUUGUUGGUGGGGUAGUUGCUUACCAAGGCUUUGACGGGUAGCCGGCCUGAGAGGGUGACCGGCCACAGUGGGACUGAGAUACGGCCCAGACUCCUACGGGAGGCAGCAGUGGGGAAUAUUGCACAAUGGGCGGAAGCCUGAUGCAGCAACGCCGCGUGCGGGAUGACGGCCUUCGGGUUGUAAACCGCUUUCGCCUGUGACGAAGCGUGAGUGACGGUAAUGGGUAAAGAAGCACCGGCUAACUACGUG
rnacentral:rRNA from 1 species